AGAAAGAUAAGCUAAUUUUAAGCUUUUAGGUUCAUACCCUAAAUAUAGGUUUAACCUUCUCUCUA
rnacentral:tRNA from 1 species